AGUAUGGCAGAAGCAAAGAGAAGCAUUCUCUGGCCUUUACCAUUAGUCAGAGGGCUACAUUCUGGUGUUCGUGUGUGUGGUUUUAAUUGUUAUUCAUUUAAUCCUUUGAAGGCUUCUUUGAGGACCAUCCAGUCAAAAUGCAGGAUAACUCCAAUCAAUCAAUCAAUCAUUUCUCCCAUCUGUUUUAAAAAAGGAAGCUGAUUCCAUGGAGGAGGUACCCUCAUGGAUUCUCCUCUAUCUAACCCCUCCAGUCCUCUCAGUCCUGCUUUUGACCAAGCUGUCCCUGAGGAACAAUAUCCUUCGGUUGUUCGGGAAGCCCUGAGGUCUGUGCACCAGUAGAAGCUCAGGACCACUGAAAUAGCUAACCCCUGCUGAGGAACCACAUCCCUGCCUCUCCAUCCCUGAAUAAGCAAAGACACAUUCCUCAGCCAGACUAAAAAAAUAGGCAGUCUGAAGACCAACCACAAGUCCCCCCUGAAGCCCAGACACCCAAGGCCUUUGGCAGCCAGCUUCAGCAGCCAUCUACAAGCAAGCUGCUGGCUGCACCUUUGGUCACCACUGCCUUAAGAAACUCAAGAAGGAAAGGUGUGGUGGGUAGCCAGCCAACCAGCCCUUCUGGCAAAAGCUCAACAGCUGGAACAGUUGAAAAUAAUCAGCAGAAGCAGCAGAUUGCUAAAAGCAAAAAGGGAAAGCCAGGAGAAGGAGCACAGUACCCCGAAUCCAUGCAGAAGGUCUCCUUACAAAUAUGAGAAAUCCAAGAAAAAAAGAUUAAAUUGUUGUUUGUGAAAACACUCUACAUAUUGUGUAUGAUUUGCUCUUCACAAUCAGUAUUUGUUAAUAUAUUUUCUCUCAUUAUUACAAGUUCAAUAUAACUUGAUUAAAGCACAGGUCUGACUCA